CAGCCUGAACCGUGAAAAGGAAAAGAUGUGGAGGCUAGGGUUUGUGAAGAGGAGAAAGGGGAUCCAAAAGUGUUGCUCUAAAGUGUAAUUUUUCUCAAAAAUUCCAUUGAAUUUUCUUAGAGCUGCACUCAAUCCAAGGUGUCCGGGUAUGAAGAUUUAGUUGCCGUUAAUUGAGUCGGUUGUCGCUCUGAUACGUAGCACUCGGGGGGACGAUUUGUAAUAUUUAUGAUGUUGUUGUUUAUUGUGACUAUCCUGGUUUAUUAGAAUGAUAUAUUAAGUGAAGUUGCUUUAUUAAUAUGAUGUUGUUUAUGUGAUAAAGAUGUUACUUGAUUCGGAAAUUGAGAAUCUUGACUCCGCUAUUUUAUUAAUAAAAGAAGUUAUUCUGUUUUAGAAA